AGUCGUAACAAGGUUUCCGUAGGUGAACCUGCGGAAGGAUCAUUACUAAAUCCAAUUCUAUGAAUCAUGUUGAAACGUGUGUGUAUUUGCGGGAUGUGGUGAGUAUGAUGUGGUGUGGGUGUGAGAUUAGGUGCUUGCACCAAACCACCCCUGCCCUAUCUGACCUCUUAUACCACUCCCGCAAAUCAUAUUAAAAACCACUCUUUGUUAUACCAAUGACAGUCAUUAUACAUACAUAUAUAAAAAGCAUAACUUUUAACAAUGGAUCUCUUGGCUCUU
rnacentral:misc_RNA from 1 species